rnacentral:misc_RNA from 1 species
UGACACGACAGCCCUGUACGAGUUGCAGUAAGACUCACGCCCUCAAAAAUAUUACUUUGUAAGUUAGCUUCUUUUAAGUGAAUUUUUUCUUUUUCAUCCCUGAUCCAUUAUCAAUUGAUGGUUCUCUUUUAGGUGAGACGACAGCUCUAUGUGAGCUACAAUGCGAUCUACGCCCUCACAAAUUCUACUUUGUGAGACGAUAGCUCUGUGUGAGCUACAAUGCGAUCUUCGCCCUCACAAAUUCUAUUUUGUAAGUUACUUUCUUUU